CCUUUAAAAGGAAGGAAUCUCAAUAAUGUCUUAGGAUGCUUGCAUCUUUGAGAAGAGAUUUGUUAUUAAUUUUGGUUUACAGUAUGACAUUUUUAGCUAUUUCUUGGGGAGGGAAAUAAUAUUCUAAAAAUUUUAGCAAAUGUCUUAGUAAUUCUGAUAACAUUGGAAGUUAUUUUUUAAUGAUAGUCGGGAUAGGAUUUUAAUUUUUUUUUUCUGGGCCAUACAGUUGACGUUUAUUAUAAGCUGGAUUUGAAAUAUACAGUGGUUGAUACGGGUUUAGGAAAGUUGUAAUUUUAGUUUUUUUUUUUGUUUUUUUUUUUAAUUAGGAGAAUGUUUAACUUAAUAACUUUUUGCAGCCAAGCUGGGCUUUAGCUGCCCUUUGGUUGAGGGCCACUUCACAAUAACAGCUGCAACUCUUUGGACACCCACUCCACAAACUUCAGGUCUUUCUCAAGGUAAAGUACCAUUUUUAUUGAAAUACUUCUGUUAUUUGUCAACUGUUUAAUGUAUUUUAAAUCAUAAUGCCACAUUAAUUUGGUUCCUAGCUUUAUUUUUUAUGUCAUCAGCAAAGUUUCUGAAUGAUCUAUGCUUAACUCCGUAUUGCCCAUAGGCCUUUUAUUUUGCAAGAUUUCUCAGUUUGGUGAUUUUUAUUAUUUUUUUUAGCACUGCGUGUGUCACAUUAUAGUAUUACUAACUGCACAUAUAGGUACUUUAUCAUGUAUGAUCUGAAAUACAUAACUUACAGAAUAAAAAUGUAAUUAUACUUACUGUAAUGCUGAGAUGUAGUAUCUGUUUCAGUUAUCACUGUGUAUCAAUCCUGGGACUUGGUAGCUCAAAUUAAAAGCUCAAAUGAAAAGCUCAGGAGCUUUUGAUAAUGCCCAUGUGUCUGUGGCUUGACGAGGCUCAACUGGGCAAUUCUCCUGCUGCCCUCACUUCGGGUCCCAUGUGGCUAUUAUCAGAUGGCAGCUGGGGCUAGAAGGGUCUGAGGUUAACUGGUGGUGUUAAGCACCAGGUUUCCUGGCCUUCCUUAAUCAGUACAAAUUGACAAGAGGCUAGACAAAUUCAGGCAAGCCUUUCCUUAGGGCCCCUGCUGCAGCAGGAGAAAGCAACAAGUAACAGGUUUCCUUGCUCUGUCCCGAAGUGGGGCAAGCUAGUUCCUUAUAUGGGGUGAGGGUAGAGGUAGGUCCAGGGAUCGGGCCAGAGGGGUAUCUUCGGUGGUUUGCCCACUCUUUGGUGUAUGGGCAAUGCUCUGCUUUUGCUCCCUACUCUUCAGAAGUGGCAGUUGUUUUUGUGUUUUUUUUUUUUUUUAAAUCUUUUUGUUUAUUGUCCAUAACUUGCCCCAACUGUGCAUGCACGCUAUUAUUUUUAGUCCCAUAUAGUUUCUUUGUAUUUUGUUGCUGGAAGAAAUGUUUGUGCAGGUGCAAGCACUGCCCCAAAAGGGCCUGGGUCCCAGGUCCCAGCCUGUCUCAGGCAACCAAGAAGCAUAAAAUUUGAAACUGCAAGGCAUUCUUAAGCCUCAGACCUGGAUUUGCAUGGUAUCACCUUUCCCACCUCCAGUAGGCUAAGCAGUUAUAGGGCCAGCCCUAAAUCCAGAGAGGAGAAAUUUGGAUAAUAGCAAAGAAUGGGGAAAAUAGCAAAGAAUCUGUGGCUGUCUUUAAUCCACCACGGUAUUCUUCAUUAAUAGUUUUGUAGAUGAAUAUCAUAAGAUUAUAGAGUCAGAAGAUUCUUAGCAAUUGUUUAGUCUGAUAUCCUCAAUUUACAUGAAAGGGUACAGGAAUAAAAUAAUAAAAGCAGACCUGGAGCUACAACCAUCUCUUCUUGUUUUAAAUUUCUCAUAACCCAUGAAACUUCCCAGGAUAUAGUAGGUAAUAAAUAUAUACUUCUUGACAUAGGAAUUUAUUAGUAAAUAAAACCUAAGCUUCUAAUAAUAUUCAAUGUAAAGAAGCACCCAUGUUUCUAAGUUUUAAAAAAUAUGCCUGCAUUUUCCAAAAGGUGAUAAGAUUGAAAAAUAUUUUAAAUGAUAGCAGAACAUGAUAUUUCAGUAUCAAGGAAAUUUUAACUGUUUGUUAUUGUGUCUUCAAACACACACACACAUAAACACAAAGAAAUGGAAUUUUGCAAGACAGUGAAUUUAAGUAGAUCUUUUAUUUCUAAGGAAUAUGUGAUACCCUCAUGGUCUGAUACCAAGUUCAUUGUGCCUUAGGUGGUGUUUGAGCUCUCACAUUCAUUGUGAGUAAAGGAAGGCAUGAUUUGUAGUGUAGGGGAGGAUGUGCAUGAGUUAUGUGCAAAUACUGCACCAUUGAACUAAAUACACCAUUGAGACUUGAGCAUCUGUGGAUUUUAAUAUACUAAGGAGGUCCUGGAAGAAGCUCCACAUGGAUACAGAGAGACCACUGCACUUCACCUAGCUAGUAUAAGAAGGUAAUGAGCCCAUGGGUGGGAAAACAUUUUACAAAUUGGAGGUCAUUAUUCAUCUUGUUUUCAAUUCCUUUGUUUGUUUUUUUUUAAUGUUUUUAUUGUAGUUGUUUCACAAAGUUCUGUCAGUUUUGCUGUACAGCAGAGUGACUCAGUCAUACAUAUAUAAACAUUUUUUUCUCAUAUUCUGUCGUGUUCUGUCACAAGUGAUUGGAUAUAGUUCCCUGUGCUAUACAGCAGGACUUCAUUGCUUAUCCAUUCUAAAUGUAACAGUUUGCAUCUCCUCACCCCAAACUCCCAGAACACCCCUAUCCCCUUGGGAACACAAGUUUGUUCUCUUUAUCUUUGAGUGUGUUUCUGUUCUGAAGAUAGGUUCAUUUGUGCUGUAUUUUAGUUUCCACAUAUAAGUGAUAUCAUAUGGUAUUUAUCUAUUUCGAUUACUUCACUUUGUAUGAUAAUCCCUGCUUGUGUCCAUGUUGCUGCGAAUGGCACUGUUUUGUUCUUUUUAUGGCUGAGUAGUGUUUUAUUGUAUAUAUGUACCACAGCUUAGUCCAUUCCUCUGUAGAUGAACGUUUGGAAUGUUUCCAUGUCUUGGCUGUUGUGACUAGUGCUGCAAUGAGGAUAGGGGUGCAGUGAACAUAGGGGUUUUUCAUACCUAUUGUUCACAUGAGCUAUUGUUCAUAUGAGUUAUUUGUUCAUAGGGGUUAAACAUAGCUAUUGUGAUUAGUGCUGCAUAUUGCUGCAGCAUUGUUCAUAUUGUUCAAUAGUGCUGCCAUAUUGUUCAUAUGAGAUAUUGUUCAUAGCAGUUGAACAUGGCUAUGGUGAAUAGUGCUGCAGUGAACAUAAGGGUGCAAUGAACAUAGAACAUAGGUGUAUCUUUUUGAACAAAAGUUUUGUCUGGAUAUGUGCCAGGAGUGGGACUGCUUAAUCAUAUGAUAGUUCCAUAUUUAGUUUUCUGAGGAACUUCCAUGUUGUUUUCCAUAGCAGUUUUACCAGGUUACACUGCCACCAACAGUGUAGGAGGGGUCCCUUUUCUCCAUACUAUCUCCAAUAUUUGUUAUUUGUUGAUUUGUCAAUGAUGGCCAUUCUGACCAGUGUGAAGUGGUACCUCAUUAUAGUUUUGAUUUGCAUUUCUCUAAUAAUUAGUGAUGUUGACAUUUUUUCAUAUGCCUGCUGGCCCUCCAUAUGUCGUCCUUGGAAAAAUUUCUCUUUAGGUCAUCUGCCCAGUUUUUGUGAUUGGGUUGUUUGUUUUUUUGCUGUUGAGUUGUAUGAGUUGUUUGGUGUAUUUUGGAGAUCAAGCCCUUGUUGGUUGCAUUGUUUGCAUUGCAUAUUCUCCCAUUCAUUAGGUUGUCUUUUUUUUUUUUUUUUUUUUAAUGGUUUCCUUUGCUGUUCAAAAGCUUAUAAGUUUGAUUAGGUUCUAUUGGUAUAUGUUUGGUUUUAUUUCUGGUUUUAUUUCUAUUACCUUGGGAGACUGGAUCUAAGAAAAUAUUUGUAUGGUUGAUGUCAGAGAAUGUUUUGCUUAUGUUCUCUUCUAGAAGUUUUAUGGUGUCUUGUUUUAUGUUGAAGUCUUAGUUCUAGUUUCAUUGCUUUGCGUGCAGCUGUCCAAUUUUCCCAGCACCAUUUGGUGAAGAGACUGUCUUUUUUUCCCAUUUUGUAUUCUUGCCUCCUUUGUCAAAGAUUAGUUGACUAUAAGAAUCUGGGUUUAUUUCUGGGCUGUCUCUUCAGUUCCAUUGGUACAUGUGUCUGUUUUUGUACCAGUACCAUACUAUCUUGAUCAUACUGUCUUGAUCUCUAUAGCUUUUUAAUAUUUUCUGAAGUCUGGGUGAAUUGUAUCUCCUGCUUUCCCCUCCUCCCCCCAUGUUUGCUUUGGCCAUUCUGGGUCUUUUAUGGUUCCAUAUAAAUUUUUGGAUUGUUUGUUCAUGGCUCAGUAGAAAUGCAUCUGACUAGCAUCCGUGACACAGUUUCGAUCCCUGUCCUUGCUUAGUGGGUUAAGGAUCUGGCAUUACCACGAGCUGUGGGGUAGGUCACAGACGAGGCUCAGAUCUGGCAUUUCUGUGGCUGUGGCCUAGGCCAGCAGCUGCAGCUCCGAUUUAAUGCCUAGCCUGGGAACCUCCACGUGCCUUGGGUGUGGCUCUAAAAAG
rnacentral:lncRNA from 1 species